AAUAGCAAGUCCAAAUUUAGACUUGCAUGCUUCCAGUGUACCACCAGAGUGAUCCACAACAUGCCAAGCAGCACUCAGCGCGACUGGAAAAGGUGCUGCAGUAAGAAGAGGAGGCAGAGGUCAUCAACAAAGCUUCACUUGUAGUCAAAAAUGUAUGCCUGUCUUCUACCUUGACGAUGUGCAGUUUGGGCAGGAGGUUGCAAUCGGCCAGCGUCAGCUCGUUUCCGUCCAGAAAACUUCUCCUGGACACCUUUUCUUCCUCCAUACUGUUGGCGUCGAUCUCGUCAGGCAGCGGACUAUUCAGGUAUUCGUCCAGCUUCUGCAUAGCCCGCGUCAGACCUUUCUCCAGGGCUGAAA